UAUUACAGUGUGGAUCCAUGAGAAAACACAGAAUCUGUAACUUUGGAUCCUCCACAGAUGCAUCCGUAUAAAUAACGGAGUACCCCGUGAUGAAGAGAUUGUGAAGGCAUGCGAAGAGAGCGAUGUCACGCCCAGCGAACUAUGCUUUCCGCGCGAGAUAACAGUGUGGAUUGACCCCAUGGAGGUGUGUGCGAGAUCAUCAGAGAACGGCCGGCCGUUCACUAUCGCCUGUUUUGGAGACGGCAAUCCGGAGGAAAAACAGGCGGACUCCUCGGCGGACUCGGUAAACCUGGACACGUCCGAUUACCACUCUGCUACCUCUUCGGAUUGUAGUUCCACUGCGUCCAGUGACACAGAAGAGGAGGCAAAGGACGGCGAGACGGAGGGAGAGCAGAAAAAAGAAGGGAAGGCUGUCGUCAAGGAGAAUGCAGCAGAAGGCUAUAGCUACACGAUACCAAUGGUUCCCAGGAUUCGGAAGCGGCACGGGGAGGGAGCAAAUACGAUUAAAUACGUCAGAAAUAUGCUUCCUGCCACCCUCCAGUACUUCUACCACCCUGCACCAGUGUGGCCUCAGUACAAGAAGGGCGCUCCAAUGUUUCUCAACACAGUGUGCGCGCCUCCGCCGCCUCCACCCCAGCAGGUGUUUGGCUACUACAUCUUGCCGCAGCCAUCUCCUCAGUUCAUUAUGCCUCAAGCCACCCUGCAGCCGUGGGCAGCCGUGAAGGGCUAGAGCCCCCAGGAGACGGAGCAGACGGAUGGAGCAUCACGAGCUCCUUCAACUGAGCCAUGUCGUGUCCGUUUUCUGAGCUCCAGGCUACGAGAUAACUUUUUAAAAUAUGUAUAGCGCAAAGUUAUUCCAUGUACAACUUGUAAUGACUCCUCCUUUCUUUUCACUUUUGGUGACUUCUCAGACUACUCAGGACAUCUCAGCAAUAUCCUUCACACCAAAUAUAUGUGUCUCUUCAGGUGUUGUUUCUUUUGUUAUGUCAAUCUGUCGUUUCUCUGACCAAAAUGUGAUACAGGGGAUUAAUCCAAGAGUAAAAGUGUCAAUAUCUGUAUUUUAAGAAUAAUAUUUUUACUAAACUGCUUGUAUAUAAUACAGAAUUUUGAUACCAUAUACCGAUGCACAUUUUCUAAUCUCAAUGUCGUUUGUUCUAAUUUAUUUGGCCACCAGUGGAUGGCAAUCAGCCUACAGCUAACCAAUGAAAUAUUUUUGUAGGAACAGGAGCUGCUGUAUUUUACAAAUCUAACCUCACAAAACAUAAACAUGAUUUGAUGUAGCUUAAAUCUCUCAGCUGCUUUACAAAUGUAUCUCUUGUGUGGCCUGAUUACAGCCGAAUGUUGUUUUUUGUUGAUAACUUUCUUAUAGGGAAAUCUGGUACAGCUACAUAUCCUUAAUAGUUCUCCCCCUCUGACUCGUGUAUACUGUAAUUGUUUGAUGAUGUAUUUAUGUCUAUGCAACCUUAAAAUGAUUCUGUUGUUUUGCUUAAACCUUAGCUUCUUAAUGCAGCAGAUUAAAUCCACGAAUACCUGAAAUAGUUGUGUUCUUUUGGGGUUAGGGUUCAAUAGUCCACACUUUUCCGUGUUUUGGCGCACUUUAUAAUUGUUUCUCUCAUAGAAUAUCUGUAUUUUGUCUAGAAAACACCUGUCGGUGUGAGGACACUCUACUUAGUGUCACUCAGAGUGUUAAUGAUCAUCAUUAGCACGUCAGCAUGACCUGCAGGAUACUGCAGCGGAAGGACUCCUGUGCUGAAUGCGUCAUUCCGCCCAAGGUCAUGACGCGCUUCCUUCUUAAACGUAGCACGUGUGGAGGCUAGAAAAAUCCUUUUGAGAUACAAAUGACCGGAGAAUGAAGGCAGGGACGGCUUCGCUGCCAGGAAACCUUGAUCUCUCACAUGUCUAAGGAUGUGGAUACUUCACCACGAGGUGUCACUCUAUAGCAGCUGGUGAACUCGCGCCGAUCACCGUCCGAGCGCGUAUCAAUAAAUAUGUAAUUGAUUCCCCCAAAACAUAAAAGCCUUAUUUUUUAAGCUAUUCUGAGAUCAUUUCGUAACACACACAUACAAACACACAAAUAAUGACUUUGAAUCAGACAUCAAACAUUAAAACCAUAGCGCAUACAAUCGAGAGUGUCCCACAUCGCCGGCUGCAUUGCGCAUCCGUGUGCGUAACCGCGCCGCACCGCUUGGUAGGAGUGUUCAAGUGAGGGUGUGUUGCGAGCAAAAUGUUUAAGUUAAGCGCGGUACUUCAAUGAGCGACAAAUGAGAGAGGGGCUCGGUACACAGUGCACCCAUCGGACUAUGCCCUCCCAAACUCGGGACGGAUAAACGGACAGUGACGACGUGGAGACAGGGUGGGGAUC
ensembl:lncRNA